rnacentral:rRNA from 1 species
AAUUUUGGACAAUGGGGGAACCCCUGAUGCAGCCAUCGCGCGUGUAUGAUGAAGGCCUUCUGGUCGUAAAGUACUUUUGGCCGAGAAGAAAAGGUAUCCCCUAAUACGGGAUACUGCCGUCGGUAUCUGCAGUCUAAGCACCGGCUAACUACGUGCCAGCAGCCGCGGUAAUACGUAGGGUGCAAGCGUUAAUCGGAAUUACUGGGCGUAAAGCGUGUGUAGGCGGUUCGGAAAGAAAGAUGUGAAAUCCCAGGGCUAAACCUUGGAACUGCAUUUUUAACUGCCGGGCUAGAGUAUGUCAGAGGGGGGGAGAAUUCCACGUGUAGCAGUGAAAUGCGUAGAUAUGUGGAGGAAUACCGAUGGCGAAGGCAGCCCCCUGGGAUAAGACUGACGCUCAGACACGAAAGUGUGGGGAGCAAACAGG